rnacentral:rRNA from 1 species
GACGAACGCUGGCGGCGUGCUUAACACAUGCAAGUCGAACGGAAAGGCCCUGCUUUUGUGGGGUGCUCGAGUGGCGAACGGGUGAGUAACACGUGAGUAACCUGCCCUUGACUUUGGGAUAACUUCAGGAAACUGGGGCUAAUACCGGAUAGGAGCUCCUGCUGCAUGGUGGGGGUUGGAAAGUUUCGGCGGUUGGGGAUGGACUCGCGGCUUAUCAGCUUGUUGGUGGGGUAGUGGCUUACCAAGGCUUUGACGGGUAGCCGGCCUGAGAGGGUGACCGGCGACAUGGGGACUGAGAUACGGCCCAGACUCCUACGGGAGGCAGCAGGGGGGAAUAUUGAACAAUGGGCGGAAGCCUGAUGCAGCAACGACGCGUGCGGGAUGACGGACUUCGGGUUGUAAACCGCUUUCGCCUGUGACGAAGCGUGAGUGACGGUAAUGGGUAAAGAAGCACCGGCUAAAUACGUG